rnacentral:rRNA from 1 species
GGUGGAAACUGCCUGGCUUGGGACCGGAAGACCAGAGGGGUACGUCUGGGGUAGGAGUGAAAUCCCGUAAUCCUGGACGGACCACCGGUGGCGAAAGCGCCUCUGGAAGACGGAUCCGACGGUGAGGGACGAAAGCUCGGGUCACGAACCGGAUUAGAUACCCGGGUAGUCCGAGCUGUAAACGAUGUCUGCUAGGUGUGCCACAGGCUACGAGCCUGUGGUGUGCCGCAGGGAAGCCGUGAAGCAGACCGCCUGGGAAGUACGUCCGCAAGGAUGAAACUUAAAGGAAUUGGCGGGGGAGCACUACAACCGGAGGAGCCUGCGGUUUAAUUGGACUCAACGCCGGACAUCUCACCAGCAUCGACAGUAGGAGUGACGGUCAGUGUGAUGAGCUUACCAGACCUACUGAGAGGAGGUGCAUGGCCGCCGUCAGCUCGUACCGUGAGGCGUCCUGUUAAGUCAGGCAACGAGCGAGACCCGCACUCCUAAUUGCCAGCAACACCCUUGUGGUGGUUGGGUACAUUAGGAGGACUGCCAGUGCCAAACUGGAGG